rnacentral:rRNA from 1 species
GAUGAACGCUAGCGACAGGCUUAACACAUGCAAGUCGAGGGGCAGCGGGGUGUGGCAACACAUUGCCGGCGACCGGCGCACGGGUGAGUAACGCGUAUGCAACUUGCCUAUCAGAGGGGGAUAACCCGGCGAAAGUCGGACUAAUACCGCAUAAAACAGGGGUUCCGCAUGGGGAUAUUUGUUAAAGAUUCAUCGCUGAUAGAUAGGCAUGCGUUCCAUAGGCAGUUGGCGGGGUAACGGCCCACCAAACCGACGAUGGAUAGGGGUUCUGAGAGGAAGGUCCCCCACAUUGGUACUGAGACACGGACCAAACUCCUACGGGAGGCAGCAGUGAGGAAUAUUGGUCAAUGGCCGGGAGGCUGAACCAGCCAAGUCGCGUGGAGGACGAAGGUCCUAUGGAUUGUAAACUUCUUUUGUGCGGGAAUAAAGUCGGGGACGCGUCCCCGUUUGCAUGUACCGCAUGAAUAAGCAUCGGCUAACUCCGUGCCAGCCGCCGCCGUAA